rnacentral:rRNA from 1 species
GACGAACGCUGGCGGCGUGCUUAACACAUGCAAGUCGAACGGGUCUGCCCUGUUUUUUGCGGGGUGGGUCAGUGGCGAACGGGUGAGUAACACGUGAGUAACCUGCCCCUCACUUCUGGAUAACCGCUUGAAAGGGUGGCUAAUACGGGGUGUUCUGGCUGUGCCGCAUGGUGUGGCUGGGAAAGAUUCACUUUUGUGGUGUUUUGGUGGGGGAUGGGCUCGCGGCCUAUCAGCUUGUUGGGGGGGUGAUGGCCUGCCAAGGCUUUGACGGGUAGCCGGCCUGAGAGGGUGGGCGGUCACACUGGGACGGAGAUACGGCCCAGACUCCUGCGGGAGGCAGCAGUGGGGGGUAUUGCACAAUGGGCGGAAGCCUGAUGCAGCGACGUCGCGUGAGGGAUGGAGGCCUUCGGGUUGUGAACCUCUUUCGCCGGUGAAGAAGGUCCUGCUCUUUGUGGUGGGGUUGACGGUAGCCGGGUUAUGAAGCGCCGGCUAACUACGUG